rnacentral:rRNA from 1 species
UACCAGCACCCCGAGUGGUCGGGACGAUUAUUGGGCCUAAAGCAUCCGUAGCCGGUCCUGCAAGUCUUCCGUUAAAUCCAGCUGCUCAACAGAUGGGCUGCGGGGGAUACUACAGGGCUAGGAGGCGGGAGAGGCAAGCGGUACUUUAUGGGUAGGGUAAAAUCCGUUGAUCCAUAGAAGACCACCAGUGGCGAAGGCGGCUUGCCAGAACGCGCUCGACGGUGAGGGAUGAAAGCUGGGGGAGCAAACCGG